UGUGUGUGUGUGUGUGUGUGUGUGUGUGUGUGUGUGUGUGUGUGUGUGUGUGUGUGUGUGUGUGUGUGUGUGUGUGUGUGUGUGUGUGUCCAAAUUAAAUUCUUUACCUUUUGAUUAUUGUAAUGAAGAAUGUGAAGCGUGCACAGAAUUUUGAAGCUAAGACCAGGUUAAAGCUCUAUCAUUACUGAAAUAAAGCACCUUUGAGCACUAA